UAACGAAUCUUCCGCAAUGCACGAAAGUGUGACGGAGCGACGCCGCGUGUGGGACGAAGCCCUUCGGGGUGUAAACCACUGUCAAGAGAAAGAAAGUUCUGAUCUACUCUAAAGGAAGGGGCGACUAACUCUGUGCCAGCAGUCGCGGUAAUACAGAGGCCCCAAGCGUUAGGCGGAAUCACUGGGCUUAAAGCGUGUGUAGGCGGGAUGGUAAGUACUUUGUGAAAUCCCACGGCUUAACCGUGGAAUUGCUUAGUAUACUGCCGUUCUUGAGUCAUCUAGGGGCAGCCGGAACAGAUGGUGGAGCGGUGAAAUGCGUAGAUAUCAUCUGGAACGCCAAUGGUGCAGACAGGCUGCUGGGGAUGAACUGACGCUGAGGCACGAAAGCCAGGGGAGCGAACGGGAUUAGAUACCCGUGUAGUCC
rnacentral:rRNA from 1 species